UAGCAAGGUGCAAUUGUUAAGGUGAC
rnacentral:piRNA from 1 species